rnacentral:lncRNA from 1 species
ACACCGCCGCGAGGGGAGAAAGCGAAACCACCACUAGGGUCAUUGGCACAGGUACCCGGACAGGGGCUGAGGCCACCUGUUGGGAGAGGAAGGCAAGAAAGCCAUGUAGGAGCCCCUCCGCGAAAAGGGCGUUUUGUUCCGAAGGAAGAAACGGAAAGACCUGGAACCAACUCAAAUGCCCAUCGAUGGUAGACUGGACAGAGAAAAUGUGGGACAUAUACACCAUGGAAUACUAUGCAGCCAUAAAAAAUGAUGAGUUCAUGUCCUUUAUAUAGACAUGGAUGUACCUGGAAACCAUCAUUCUCAGCAAACUGACAUGAGAACAGAAAAUCAAACCCUGCAUGUUCUUACUCAUAGGUAGGUGUCGAACAAUGAGAACACAUGGAUACAGGGAGGGGAGCAUCACACACUGGGGUCUGUU